CGUAGAGCGAAAUUAGCGUGAUAGUAAACGCUAUUCUAAACUGCCAAUUUGGAGCCCGUUGUCCUUGCAUCGUGCUCGCAUCGUCAUUACCACAUCAUAUCAUCAAAUAAACGUCGACGAGAUACCUCAUCGGAGAUCAGCACGGAAUCUUUAUAUCUCCCGCAUCCUUCCAAUAACAACGGACACCUUCGUUUCUACAUCGAUCGAUCAUUAUAUCGAGAAUUUGCUCGAUUUUCAGCCAAUGGCCAUGACCGAGAAAAUCGUGUGUUAAUGAAAUACGACCGUGGUGACAUACGUUAGUGCUGUUUUUUUUUUUUUUUUUGUAUUAUCGAGAAUAAUGGAAUCGAUAUUCUGGAAGAUAAUUUUCGAUGAAAAGAGGAUGAAGAGAGAAAGUUUAUUCAGGAGACUGACCAUAAACGUAUCGCGUCAGGGACAUCGGCUGAAGAUCGAAAAUACAUGUUUCAUAACUACGUCAAAGACAGAAGACUCCUUCUCUGUUUCCUCAUUCACAUAGCAUCUUUAUCAUCGUUCCCCCUCAGUUGCAAGUAGGUACAAAGUAAUAAUCGUCCAUAAAUCGAGAUAACAACAUGGUCAUAGAAAUUGUUAAGUAAUAUUAAAUGCACUUUAUGCUAGUUUAGUAGAUUCAAUUGAUUAAUGCAAGGUUAUGCAUUUGUAUGUAGUGUCAUAUCGUAACCAUAUGAAUGGAUUUCUCUUAUCGUCAUCGACGAAUUAUCAUAGUUUUUUUUUUUUUCCGGUGUCUUCUCUCUUAUCAUCGUGACCGAUGCGUUGUAUGCGUAAUAAAGUGGCACUAUGGAGUUCUUUCUUUUUUUUCUUUUUUUCUUCUUUUUUUCUCAAUUAAUGUCAUAAGAAGGAAGCUAAUCCGUUCGGACGCAUUUAUGGCAUUGAUAACGAAACAUUGUAUAUAUAUACGUGUCCUCGCAUUGUAACGAUAACGAUAACCGUAUCGUUAAUACGAUGUACCGAAGUAGAAUGAAGUGGAAACAAGCGAGUAUUCGAAAUAUCGAACAGUUAUUUAAAGAGAGAAUGUAUGUAGAUAUAUAUGCGUGUGUGUAUAAAAGAUAGAGAGAGAGAAAGAGAUAGAGAGAGAGAGCGAGAGAGAGAGAGAGAGAGAGAGAGAGAGAGAGAGAAGGAGAAAUUAGUUGUAAAAUCCGAUUAAUGUCAGUUAUAUUAAUCGAAUAAUUUUUAGCUCGAUUAAUAUAUGAAAAUAAAAGUCACAAUUUUUGAUCGUUAAAAUGUGAACUGUAUCAAAAUAGAAUAACUUUAUUCGAUGA